CGAAUCCAAUUUGGCUCUCUGGAUGUAUUGAAAGCUCUCAACCUUCCAGAAAAGGACUGUUCAAAGGAACACUUAAAUCCCUCCGACAGGCCCUCUGGUGGUGACGUAUAAGUGCUUUCUCAGUACUUUCUCUCGCUUUUGGACAAAUCCAAGUGCUGUAUCUGUACCCGAAUAGAAAUAAAGGAUUUUAAUGA